UCACCUGGUCGAUACACCAAGGAAGCCUAGCACAACAGUCAGCAUUCUGUUCUUCCUAGUGAAUAUUCUGGUUUGAUUCUUAGACUUCUGCGAGUUCCAUUCUGCAGUUCAGUCUCUGCCUGAGACAGGAGACCUUCCUCUGAGACUGCUCUGACCUGCCUGGGAUCCCAACCAUCAACAUUGUCUGCUCCUGAUAUCCGACCAGCCGCUUUAUCAUGGCUGAGGAUCCAGGAUCGCUGGAAGCAGAUAAUUCUCCCCACCUGCCAUCGAAGGUCAAUAUGAGCCCAAGGCUACAUCACAGCACCUGCGUCAUUCACCUCACUUCCUUUCCCAUCAUCACAAGAAGGAGACGGCCAAGAAAAUGCAUCAGCAGAAGGUGAUAGGUCAUGAGGCUGGAAGACAGAGGCUAUGCCUUCCGGUAUUUGGUUUGGUUUGAUUGGACUGUGACAUACUGCCUCACUUUUAGUAGACAGUUAUGUUUUCAAUGGCUUGUCAUUUUGAUCUAUUACUUCUAAACAUAAAUACUGAAUGUUUACCAUCUUACCCAUGAUGAUCCAAUCUGUGGUGCUGCUAUCUGAUUCUCCAACCUAAAUUAAAUAGAAUUUGAGAAAUUCUGCAUCUUCUGAGAUUACAGUCACCUUAUUCAGCUUCACCAACUUAGAAGAGAAAGACUUUACAAGGAAAACCACAUUUUUCUAAUUACUAGUUUUUGCAAAUCUGAAUUCUAAAAGACUUUCUUAGAC
ensembl:lncRNA